rnacentral:rRNA from 1 species
CCUACGGGGGGCAGCAGUGGGGAAUAUUGGACAAUGGGCGAAAGCCUGAUCCAGCCAUGCCGCGUGUGUGAAGAAGGCCUUCGGGUUGUAAAGCACUUUCAGUGGGGAAGAAAGCCUUGGGGCUAAUACCCUCGAGGAAGGACAUCACCCACAGAAGAAGCACCGGCUAACUCCGUGCCAGCAGCCGCGGUAAUACGGAGGGUGCGAGCGUUAAUCGGAAUUACUGGGCGUAAAGCGCGCGUAGGCGGUCUGAUAAGCCGGUUGUGAAAGCCCCGGGCUCAACCUGGGAACGGCAUCCGGAACUGUCAGGCUUGAGUGCAGGAGAGGAAGGUAGAAUUCCCGGUGUAGCGGUGAAAUGCGUAGAGAUCGGGAGGAAUACCAGUGGCGAAGGCGGCCUUCUGGACUGACACUGACGCUGAGGUGCGAAAGCGUGGGUAGCAAACAGGAUUAGAUACCCGGGUAGUC